GGUAUCAGUACUUAUAUGAUUAUUUCUUGUAAUGUUUAAUCUAUUGUAUCUUCUUCAGACCUAAUCAUCUCGAUUCACUGAUUUGUUAUGGUUGGAGACUGAAACAUGGGUGUUGGGGUUACGCCGUGAACCCUUGAUGACGACAGAAUUGCAUGCUACAGAACAGAUAAUCGAAGGAUUUUGCUCCGAUGAAGUAACCGGCAUACGGCUGACGACUAGGUUCGUUUGAUUUGCUGAGUUUCAAAUCCCGUUCGUUCUCUUCUUCGUCAUCGUGAUCAUUAUCAUCAAAGAUUUGGUUGAAGGUGGGUGUUCAACCAGACUCUCAUUUCGAAGCGGACAUGUUUGGCAACCAAUGCUGUGAUCGAGGAAGCAAUGAUCUUUAUUUGUGGCAUGAACAUCAUUGAGCCUGGGGCCAGAUCUUCUUAGACAACUGGUCUAUAAGAAGACGCAACAGAGUCAACAUAAACUCUAUUAUGCUCAAGUCCAUAACUGUGAUUACAGUAGAUUGGAAUAAGAGUGGGAUACGGCACCAAAAGGCUUACAGAAGUGGCUUGAUUUAUUAA
rnacentral:lncRNA from 1 species